UUGCUCCCGCAUCGGUGAAAGGUAAGCUUUCAAUGCGUUUUCUAAUGAAAUUUAUAUUAAAAUCGGAAGAUUGAUUUAUAUUUUCGUGUUCGCGAUGGUCAGAGCGGGCUAGCCGGUUGGCUUUCGUGCCGUUUUUCGGGCUGUUUAAUACGUUUGUAUGACUUAAACGGCACCGAAUUCGUUCGCUUUCCAGGUGUAUAAACACAUUAUGUAUGCAUUUUUACAUUAGAAAUAUAUCGUAAGACAAAGCUGGCAUGUCGCACAUUUCGUUUUAAUUAUAAAACGUAAUAUUAGUUUGCUUGCAAGGUGGAUAGCUGCUUUGGCAAGCUAGCUACCGACCGAACCGGAAUCAUACAGUAGAAUCUGUGUGUACAGUAAUGUUUUGACUCCCCAGUGUAAUAAUUUCUUUCGAAAUGUUUAAGAAAUGUUUUGGCAUAAACGACAACUGUGAGUCAGUAAUGGCAUCUCAGUCGCUCAUUUAAAAUAUAUUACAAUUUAAAGCAUACUUUAUGUAACUUCCCAUAUUCUCAAACCUUGUGAUUUGUUUGCAUCUUUAUUUUGACUGUGUUUUAUAAAGUAUUGUCAGUUUGGUAUAAUACAAUUUGAAUUAACUGUUGUUUCAUUGUAAUAUUUAUCAGAGAAAGAAGGAUCUCCUUGAAAUAGGAAUGGUUUGGGUUAGAGAUUCAACGUGUUUAUGCAUGCUUUGUAGCUUUGUCCUGUCAUCCAUCCAUCGCUGCCUAGCUGCGGCUUUCAUCCUGCACCCCCUGGUGUACUGGCACUGGGCAAAUUAAUGGCAUUACUGCAGAUGCACUUUCUAAUGUACAUCACUAACAACCAUAAUAACUAUGCCGCUUAUUUGGGCUGGGCUGCAUGUAAUCGUAGACUUUUCUACAUGCUGUACCUUUAUAAUUUUAUUUGACCUUCUGAAGCUCUUUUAUGCUUAAAUUAUAUUAUUAUUCUUUGUUAAGCAAUUAUUUUAUGUUCACACUCAUUGUAUGCCCGUAGUCGUACUUAACAACAAGCACAACUUGCUCUGAGUAAAUCCCUGCACUGUUUACUGUUUACUUUGUACUUUUGCACUACCACCAUUGCACACAAUCUACCAUAGCAUCUCUUAGCAUGGUCAAUAUAUCACAGGGCCAGUCCCUACUAGGCCUUUGUAAUCACUUCACAUGCUCUUUACUUCUUACUUUUCUGUGAGUGAUUUUGAUCUUUAUGUGUGUGAGAUAUGUGUGUAUGUAUAAGCUACUGGAUGCCUAAAAUUUCCCUCGGGAUGAAUAAAGUAUCUAUCUAUCUAGUUAAACAGCAUCUCAUUUCAAUGCUUGAUUGACACAAACACUCUGACAGCGAUGUCGUAGAGGUCCCACACCCGCUCCCCCCGCCUCCACCUCCCACCACCGCCUCCACCUCCAGCCACUGCCGGCGGAGAAGAGGAGGGACAGGCCCAAGCCACAGCCUCUUUGAGCUGAACCAGCGCACUCUCUCCCAGUGGUUCUCCCCGGAGGCCGAAGGCGUGGGAGAGAGCUGUGCUUCAGCAGGACGUGGUGGGUACCCGCGUCCCUGCCAUUGCGUACCAGCAGCUGCCUCCACCACGGCGGCUCCUUCAGGGUGACAAGGCGACCGGACAAGCGGCCUUCGUCUUUGUCACCCCAGAAGACCGAUCACGCCAGGCCACCCAGCGAGGAAGGAACGCCCCACGCGCCCAUCCUGCCGGCCUCCGUCCCAGCCCAGCCCUGGCCUGCCACCACCACCGUGCCCGCUGCUACAAUACGGACGACAGUGUGAGGAGAAGUACAUCUGCCUAAAGUGCGGACAGCCGAAACAGCGGCAAUUUGGUCAUAGCCGUUUGGGCAACAUCGCGUUCUGCUCCACUGCUGCCAGCAAGUCGGUGCAGGAGUGGUUGGCAUGAAGGACACUCAUGGACGCUGAUCCACUGGCUGGGUGGAGGACGCUUUUAUUGUAUAUAGUUCUGUGAUCUGCCCUCUACUUGGACCGGUACCUUGGCGAGGUGUAGAGGCUUGCGUGUGCUGAAGACCCUCAGAGCUACAUUGCCUGCAGUCCUUGGACUGCUGGUCUGAGGUGAAGCACCAGACAAAAGCCGGUCCUGCAAUGGGAACAUUGAAAUGUCAAAAGUGUGCCCUUGGCUGCAUUUGUAAUGGACACUUUUUUUAUGUGGACACAGUAAAGCUCCCAGUAAUGUGCAUCAAUGUUUCCCAGUUUGUAUAGUGCUGUUACUUUGUCUAAAGUUCAGCAUAAUUAUGUAAAAAUUAUGUAAUACACACUUGUAUUACAGUGAAGCAGCUUGUGCAUCGAUGUUUGGAUCAUUGCGUAUUGCAAUCAUUUAAGGAAAUGCUUGUGAAAGGAAAUGCUUGUCUUUUGUUUCUGAAUUUAACAAUACUUGAUUUGAGUCUUUGAAAGUAGUCUUUGAAAGUGAGAAUGAUUUCCUUCCUUCUCAUUCAUACAAGUCAAAGCUUCAAAGCUUUUAAUGUCCUUCCUUCUCCUGCGUCACUGACUGCCUAGACAGGCAGGCAGGCAGGCAGUCAGUCCCAAGCCAAUUAUCCCUGCCAAAUGUGUUUUGGAUUGUGUACUGCAAUCACUGUUUUAUCUAACAAACGUAACGAAAAAAGUCAUCAAUAGAGUCAGUGAAAAGCAAACUGUCUUUUUUAAUUUUGUCUUUUUAUUUCAGUUAGUUAAUACAUUGCAUUGAUGUUCACAAUUACUACAUAUCUGUAUAAUUCAUUUCUUCUGCAGAAAUCAAUGUGUUGUAUUGGAAUAAAACAUACACAGAAAGCCAAAAGUC